GACGAACGCUGGCGGCGUGCCUAAUACAUGCAAGUAGAACGCUGAAGAGAGGAGCUUGCUCUUCUUGGAUGAGUUGCGAACGGGUGAGUAACGCGUAGGUAACCUGCCUGGUAGCGGGGGAUAACUAUUGGAAACGAUAGCUAAUACCGCAUGAUAUUAAUUAUUGCAUGAUAAUUGAUUGAAAGAUGCAAUUGCAUCACUACCAGAUGGACCUGCGUUGUAUUAGCUAGUUGGUGAGGUAACGGCUCACCAAGGCGACGAUACAUAGCCGACCUGAGAGGGUGAUCGGCCACACUGGGACUGAGACACGGCCCAGACUCCUACGGGAGGCAGCAGUAGGGAAUCUUCGGCAAUGGGGGGAACCCUGACCGAGCAACGCCGCGUGAGUGAAGAAGGUUUUCGGAUCGUAAAGCUCUGUUGUAAGAGAAGAACGGGUGUGAGAGUGGAAAGUUCACACUGUGACGGUAUCUACC
rnacentral:rRNA from 1 species